rnacentral:rRNA from 1 species
CCUACGGGCGGCUGCAGUGGGGAAGCUUCGGCAAUGGGGGCAACCCUGACCGAGCGACGCCGCGUGCGGGACGAAGGCCUUCGGGUUGUAAACCGCUUUCGACAGGGACGAAGGAAGGAGACUAUAACACAUUCUCCAACUUGACGGUACCUGCAGAAGAAGCCCUGGCUAACUCCGUGCCAGCAGCCGCGGUAAUACGGAGAGGGCAAGCGUUGUUCGGAUUUAUUGGGCGUAAAGCGCGCGUAGGCGGUAUGGUAAGUCGGAUGUUAAAGACCCACGGCUCACCCGGGGGAAUGCGUCCGAUACUGCCGUACUGGAGUACGGGAGAGGGAAGUGGAAUUCCUGGUGUAGCGGUGAAAUGCGUAGAUAUCAGGAGGAACACCUGUGGCGAAGGCGGCUUCCUGGCCCGUAACUGACGCUGAGGCGCGAAAGCGUGGGGAGCGAACGGGAUUAGAUACCCGUGUAGUC